CAGCCGCCGCGGUAAUACAGAGGGUGCAAGCGUUAAUCGGAAUUACUGGGCGUAAAGCGCGCGUAGGUGGUUCGCCAAGUUGGAUGUGAAAUCCCCGGGCUCAACCUGGGAACUGCAUCCAAAACUGGCGAGCUAGAGUAUGGUAGAGGGUGGUGGAAUUUCCUGUGUAGCGGUGAAAUGCGUAGAUAUAGGAAGGAACAUCAGUGGCGAAGGCGACCACCUGGACUGAUACUGACACUGAGGUGCGAAAGCGUGGGGAGCAAACAGGAUUAGAUACCCGCGUAGUCCCUGUCUCUUAUAA
rnacentral:rRNA from 1 species